AGUGGAAUUGCUGGGUCGUAUGUUAGCAUAUAUACGUUUAAUUUUUUGAGGAACUGCCAAACUGUUUUCCAAAGUGGCUACACCAUUUUAUAUUUCCACCAGCAAU
rnacentral:pre_miRNA from 1 species